CAGCGGUGAUUUUUUCUGCUCAAGAUUACUUUGUGGCUUUAGCUCUGGAGUGGAAAUUUACUAUUAUUGGUAGGUUUUACAGAGGAAAGCCAACUAUGGAGGAAAUUAGAAAAGUUUUUAUCAGCAAGUUUCAUUUAACCAGAUCUGUGAAAAUUGCCUAUUUUGAUUUUAGGCAUGUGUACAUUGAUUUCACUAACGAGGUCGACUUUAAUCAUAUUCGUUUCAAAGAAUUUAUUGAGAUUGGAGAUGCUCCUAUAGAAGAUCUUGAAAUGGACAUCGGAUUCCAAACCAGAAGAAGAAACUUCCAUUGUCCCAAUUUGGAUUCUAAUUCAUCAACUACCAUGGCGUUUAUUCAGAUGGCAUGUCAUUUCUAGAAUGGUUAGUGAUAUUGGAGUUUCUAUUGCCCCUGAUCUAGCAACUUAUUCCAAGUCUAGGGGUAAUGUUGCUAAGGUGAAGGUUGAAAUUGAUUUGUUAAAAUCGAGAGUAGAUCAAAUUUGGUUAACAAAUAGAUGGAACCCCAAAUGGAAGAUGGCUCGAUAUUGAAUAUGACAAAGUUCCGAGCUACUGUCUCUACUGUAAGCUACAAAGGUCACUUUGAAAGGUUUUGUGAAAUCUUCUAAGGUGCUGAUUGAUAAAGGGAUGCGGCAUCCCAACAACGUCCAAGAGGUGUAGAGGAACUACAUCAAUCCAUCCCGAACUUGGUGGUCUGAUGAGUGAGAUCUCAAUUAAGUGUUCACAUAAUCUUCUUAGGUCUGAACAGAUAAUUCAUCGAAAUAAUUAAUUAAGAAAGAAAAUGGUGUUACCUAAAUAUGAAGGAAAUGGCUUGGAAUCCUAAAAUAACUGACAGAGACAUCAAGUGCUAGAAUGGGUUUGUUCAUAGUGGUGGAAAUAAGUUAAACUUGGAGAUGUGGGGUUCGCAAUUCAUCUUUCCAACAGUAAUUCCGCACAAGACCUUAAGGGUACCCCUGAAUUCAUGGCUCCAGAGUACCACGAUGAAGGAAUACAGUGAACUGGUUGAUAUAUAUAUAUAUAUGCAUGCCUUUGGGAUGUGUCUUCCGGAGAUGAUUACUGAAUAUGCAAAGUCAGAUGCACCAAAGUUUACACCGUCAAAGACAAAGGCGAGGCAAUUGAUUGGUUGAGUUGCUGCGACGAACUGAGAUUGGAAGAAUUGAGAUCAACUUACAGGUUUGAUUCCCAUGAAUUUUAAUAAAGGUUUUGCUCCGGCGAUUAGAAAUGCUGCUUGGAUGAUGCCAAGGACAGCGCCAAUUAUUAAUGCAGACGAGGCGGAUGGAAUGUGCCUCUUU